UUUAUUGUUUGUUUGUCUUUCUGUCUGCUAUUUUGAUUGGAAUUCUAACUUUCAGAACACUUAGGCAUUCUUCUGAGUCAUUUAGUCUGCUAUUCAUUGCUUCUAGAGUGCUUUUUAAUCUCAGAAAUUGAAUUGUCCAUCUUUGAUUGAGUCUUCUUUAUACUUUCUAGUUUCUUGUUAAAAUGACCUCAGAUCAAUUCUCUUCCCUAAUUCAGUUAGAAUUUUUACUAGUAAUGUUUUAAAUUCAUUAUCUGGUUGGCUGAUUACCUCUGUUUCAUUAUUCAAGGGUUUUCUCUUGCUCUUUCAAUUGAGAGGAAUUCCUUUGCUUUUUCAUUUUAUUUAACUUUCUCUGUCUCUACUAGUUUAGGCGAAACUGUUACCUAUUGUGUUCUUGAGGCAGUGAGUUGUGUGGGAGCAUCCUCAUGUAUACCGAGUGCCCUCCCAUUUGGUGGGAGAAGUGGAUUUGGUGAGGAUGCCAGUCACAUCUUUCCUCAAGGUGUGCUGGCCGCCAUCACCUUGGUAGGAGGUGUGGUGGUAAUGGGGUAGCUGGAGGCUGAUUAGGGUGUGAGAUGGUACUUCCUUUCUGCUCAGUGACCAUAGUCGCCAUGUUGGGGCAGAGUCUGCUUCCAAGUUGCUAGAGCAAAAGUCUUGAGGGUCGAGCUCCAGCUGGGUCUGUUUCCUUUGUGUGUUCUUCCUUUUCCCCACUGGGGACUUUGCCCCAAGGCAGGGAGUGCUGAAGUAAACGAGGCUGGUGUACUUAAAGAUGUCUGAUGUGCUGCCUGCGUAGGCAUCCAUGGCUUCACUCAGACACAGCCCAAAGUCAUACCUUUUCCCUUGCUGUGGUCAUCCCAGAUCUAGUGCUAGUUUAUGGCAUGGAAUAGCAGGGGUUGGAGUGUUUGCUUGACUGGGACUGUGGAGUGUGGUGUGGUGGAUGUGGAAAAUCAAGCAGCUGCGUUGCUUUCAGAAGUCUGGGCUGCUUUACGGGUGCUGUUUGAGUACGCACCAACAGCGACCACCACUGCCCCACCUGGACCACACCCUGGACCCUGUGUUGCCUCUGUGUCCUUAGAUCAAGCCUUUUCCUAGGUCCCGGCUAUGCUAGAUCCAGUGUCAAGCUGUAGCAUGCAGUGAGUGAGGAAUCUAGGAGCACAGUGGGGCAGCAGCUGCUACAUCAGACCUCUUUCUGCUUUGUUUGAAAGCACUUGGCAGGCAAGCCAGCAUCUACCUUACGAGUGGAGUUAAAGCUGCUUCAGCCACUCUUAACCCCAAAUCUUCUCCAACAAGCCUAGGGGGCUUGCAUCCUCCAUGUAGAACCCCUGGGCUGGGACACCUGGACUGUGGCACAACCUUCUCAUGUCCCAGGUUAAUUGUCUAGAAGAAAUUCUGAAUACACAGCAAAACAAUAAGUCAAUUGUGGCUGGACUUUGCAACACAAUAUAGCAAAACAGAGGUAAUUGGUCCUUCUCUGAAGAAAAUUGAUAUCUUAUUUCUGCUGAAAAUAAGAUCUUGGCAGCAAGGAAAUUGUCCUGAAGCCCUGAGCUCCAGUCUUAUCAAGACAUAAAGAAGAACUGGAAAUGUAUGGCACAAUAACUCUCCUUACAUUUUCUUAUACAGAAGAUAAUUACAGAGACAAUUUUAACAUUUUGUGUUCAUUCAAGCAUGCUAAACUCAACAUAUUGUAAUAACUGGAGAUCUCUUAAUCAAACCCAAACAUCAAAAUAUGGGCUUAAAUGGUUAUGUGAUUUUUAAAUUUUAAAUAUAUUUGUACAUAAAAGUAAAUGCUAAUAUAUUAAAAUCUCAGACCCUGGUAAAUAAACGAGAGGAAACCACAUAGCACAUAUGCACUAAGGAGCAUUUAGUCACAAUCAGCACUUAAAAAAUACCUAACAUUUAUUGAUUGCUUCUAAUGUUCCCAAUACUACUUCAAUGAAUCACAUAUUAGAUCAUGUACUGCCCCAAUAAUUCCUACAAAAGUGUAUUAUCUUUAUGGAUGUCAUAUUAAUAAAGAAACUGAGACCCAGAAAGAAUGAGGAAUUUUCCAAAGUUGUAUAGCUAGUAAAAAAUAGAAACAUAAUUUAAGCCAAGAUAGGUUUACUCUAGAGAUUACACAUGGAAACUUUAUGCUAUGCUGACCUCAGAACAAUAAGUAAUGUCAGAUCAAGAUGUAAAAAUAUUGCUUCUUCAGAAAUAAUGAGGGCUGCAGAUUUACAUUUCCCCCUGGCUGUAUCUUUCAGAGAGAAACAAAUGAGAAAAAUAACUUUCAAGAAUGAAAUAUUAUACUAGCUCUUUUUAUAAAGAGUAUGUUAUGAAUAUUUUAUACUAAUCAUUCUCUGGAAUAUGGAAGAAAGAGACUAAUAAAAGUGAUAUUUUUCACCUUAGUAGACUCCAGCAAGCUUAAAGAAUAUAGGUUUCCUUUAUUUUUAGUUCUCAUCUACUAUGUGACUGUAUAUUAUUUCUUUUUUUAUUGCAUUCAAGUUCUGUUAUUGCCUUUAAUAAAGACUUCCGUCUAUAGCAUGAUGAUAAGUUGAUGGCAUAUAUGCUGACAAUUUCCAUAUGAUGCCCUUGGGAGACACACCUCAUAAUUUCAGCAUUCCUCCCUGCCAAGGCUGGCCUCUGCUCUAAAUAAUUCCUGACAAUCUUUCCCAGUUGCAUUGCUCCCAUCUCAACCACACAAAAUGCUCUAAAUUGAAUUUAUAUACACAGAUAAUUGGGCUUCCCAGGGCUCAAUGAUAAAGAAUCUGCUUACCAAUGUAGGAGACGCAGGAGACAUGGGUUUGAUCCCUGGGUUGGGAAGAUGCCCUGGAGGAGAAAAGCCAACCCACUCCAGUACGCUUGCCUGAAAAAUCCUAUGGACAGAGGAGUCUGAUGGGCCACAGUCUAUAGAGUUGCAAAGAGUCAGACACCAUUAAGUGACUGAGCAUGCAUACAUAUCAAUAGUGAACUCUUUCCUCUUUCAGGAAAAACAAUUUUAAAAAUGUAUAAACAAAGUAACACAUUUGUUAAGGCAGUGUCUCCUAAUGAUCCCUUACCUCAAAAUGUGAUUUUGUAAAUACAGGUUACCCAUAACUUACAGUGGAAUAGCUAAUGUCUGUGAAUAUCCCAAAACUGAUAGAGGACAUCAAACUACACAAUGCCAAAGCAUUCCGAAUUCCUGUCUGGUGAACAAAAUAAAAACAAUGUUACGUAUAUCAUGCUUAAUUGCUGAAAACCAAAGAUAAAUGGAAGCUGAAAGGCAGGCAGUAAAAUACAGAAUUUAUAUAUUUGUAUAUUUAUUUUUUAAUGCUUUUUUUUUUGGUCUUUACUGAGUUUGUCAUAACAUUGCUUCUGUUUUCUGUUUUGGUUUUUUUUUGCCCACGAGGCACACGGGACCUGAGCUCCCUGACCAGGGAUUAAACCCACAUCCUCUGCAUUGUAAAGUCGAGUCUUAACCACUGGACAAACAGGGAAGUCCAGAAUUUACUUUUAAAGAAGGAAUUAGUAGCUAAUAUCUAAAAAGAAAAAAGAAAGCAUGGACGUAUUGAAAGACAAUUGUUUUACAAAACUCUAUCCCCAGAGAAAAGAUAAUUAUAUGAGAAUCAUAUGAAGAUAUACUUAUAUUCCAUAGGUGAAAUAAAGAUAAUUUAAGAUAGGCAGAGAAAAAUUGUCAUUACCUUAGGUCUAUGCUAAGGAUAUACUAUAAGGUCCAUUAGAAAAUAAUCCCAAAUGGAACCUCUAAGAUUCAGGAUAAAGGGCAAUGAAAUAGGUAAAUGCAGGUAUAAAUCUAAAUGAAUAGUUAUAACAUAAAACCAUAAUAUUAGUGUCUAUAGUUUAAAAUUGCAUAAGCUUGAACUACACUGUAAAUGUUGCAUUUAAAUUAAAAGGAGGAUAUGGAGUUAAAAGGACCUAAGGCUAUGGCCCAGAGAGUAAAGAAUCUGCCUGCAAGGUAGACAUGCAGGUUAAAUCUCUGGGUCAGGAAGAUCCACUGGAAAUAUUGCUUGGGAAAGCCUAUGGACAGAGGAGACUGGGGAACUACAGUCCACAUGAUCACAAAAGAGUUGGAUGUGCAGCAAAAACAACAAGAAGGCUAUUAAAAUGUCUAAGAAGAGGUAAAGGAAUUAUUUAUCUUGGGCAUUACUAGGUCAAGAAUGCAUGUUGAGUGGGAGGGGGGUUCAUAUUUGGAAAAGCAUGUACACUCAUGGUGGAUUCAUGUCAAUGUAUG
ensembl:lncRNA